GAAUUUCCAAGAGCUUCUUCAUCUUCAACAUUAGACCAUUCAACUUCUGGAUUUAGGAUUAAUGUUCCAUCUUGAGAGAUAGUCACAAGGUUUUUGCAACCUUUUUACUAUAGCCUUCCAUGUUUUACUGUACAUGGACUCAAGAAAGCAAUCAUUUUAGCCUUAUAAUAAUUACAGUUUAUACCAUCCAAGACAGGGUCUAUUGACUAACCCUCCUUCCUUAGUAUUGUCCAUUUAAA
rnacentral:lncRNA from 1 species